rnacentral:tRNA from 1 species
AGAGAUUUAAGUUAAUAAAACUAAAAGCCUUCAAAGUUUUAAAUAAGAAUUAAAUUUUCUUAGUCUUUA